UUAAGGAGGGGGCCCUCAACAUGAUGAUUAAGGAUGGAGCCCUCAACAAUAUGAUUAAGGAGGGGGCCCUCAACAUGAUGAUUAAGGAUGGGGCCCUCAACAUGAUGAUUAAGGAUGGGGCCCUCAACAUGAUGAUUAAUGAUGGGGUCCUCAACAUGAUGAUUAGGGAUGGGGCCCUCAACAUGAUGAUUAGGAAUGGGGCCCUCAACAUGAUGAUGAUGAAGGGUGGGGCCCUCAACAUGAUGAUGAUGAAGGGUGGGGCCCUCAACAAUAUGAUUAAUGAUGGGGCCCUCAACAAUAUGAUUAAGGAUGGGGCCCUCAACAUGAUGAUUAAGGAUGGGGCCCUCAACAUGAUGAUUAAGGACGGGGCCCUCAACAUGAUGAUUAAGGAUGGGCCCCUCAACAUGAUUAAGGAUGGGGCCCUCAACAUGAUGAUUAAGGAUGGGGCCCUCAACAUGAUGAUUAAGGAUGGCCCCUCAACAUGAUGAUUAAGGAUGGGGCCCUCAACAGGAUGAUUAAUGAUUGGGCCCUCAACAUGAUGUUUAAGGACUGGGCCCUCAACACGAUAAAGGUAGGGGCCCACUCAUCCAUGGCCGAUUUGGGAACAAUUUGAAGUCGGACAGUUCUGCAGCCUCGUCGGAGCGGACUCACGGUGGACCUGUGGUUGAAACGCGUGUUGGGAGUGAAAGACGCAAAUCCUUGUCGGAACGAUUCCAGAUUCAGCCAAACAUGUUCGAUUUCCUCUGAGCUAGUGUUCGAUUGUUCGGGUGGUGUUCGUCGAAACGCACAAAUUGGCAGGUGAGUUUUUAUUGGCCGAUGGAAGGUUUGUAUUUGCGACGUAGGAGAAAACCUGGUUGUUUGGUGCGGCGUUAAAACACAGUGGGAGAACCCACUGUCGCGUUGCCCCGCGGGGCAGAACACAGUAGGGGGAAACAAUAAUUGAACUGAGGGGGCAACAGAGCCUUUUACCCCCUGUGGCGCCCGUGGCGCCUCGUGUGAGAGCGCUGACAAGACUGGAAAAUUGUCAAAUGUCGAUAAAGCUAAAAACGGAGAGUAGAAGAGAGAAAGCUUUUGAAAAAUAAACCACCCAAAAAUACACACUCUCUACAUUUCUCUAGCGUGUGCACACAUGUGAUUGACAGGCAUGAUUGACAGGCAAGAUGGAUCCCCCAAACAAUCAGGGAUGAUGCCAUGAUUGGUCAGAAAUGAGCGAGCAGAUAUCUAAACAUAGAAUCAGCUGGUCAACUGGAACAGGUGAUUUCACUCACUAGAGUACAUCUUGCUAUGACAUUUUAUUAUCGCUCAUUCCACACAAGAUUAUAGCUCACAAAUCUUUCUGCACCUAUAAAUGUGCGAUGCUCCGUCGUACUGUCAUUCUUUCCAGAUCCAGAAUUCAUGAAGUGUGUGUGGCCCCAGGUUACUCCAAGAAUAACAUGUUUAGAUUUAUAGCGCAGUACGACUUUCUUAUGAAUAAAGGCUCAAGGCCUGCUUCAACACCGUCGCGGAGACGCAGCCCUGAAUAUCUCACAACCCCUUUCAGAUCAGCUAUAAAUAAUGUUCUCAAUCGGCAUGAAUGUAUGAAUAUUAGAUAUCACCUCCUAACUUGUUUCUCAGUUUAAUAAUGAGAUGCGCCUGGACUGGACAGAAGAUGCUAGUAUUGAUUAUUGUUCAGUAUGUAUAUAAUUUAAAUCUCUGCAUUUUCUACUGUUUCAAUGUUUUGUAUGACUGCAUGCCGGAUGUACAUUUGUGUGAUUUGUAUGAUUUGAAUAUGUUUGACCAGUUUUGUGAUAUUUAUUUUUUAUUCAUUUUUAUUUUGGGUUUUAAUGAAUGGAUAAGUACAGUGCCAGUACUAGUAGUCUGGGAUUAUUAGAAUUGUGUAACUAGAUAUUCAUUGCAAAGCUGCACUUCAAUACCUCAUCCCCGUCUCGUAUGUUUCUAGAAGCCUUUCUUUUUAAGCGAUGAUGAAAGCUGUACUUGAAAUAAAAGGCAAACUACAAAGGUUGCAUAAACAUGAACAAUAUAAUUUAUUUCCGAUUCACAGUGCUUACAGUGGUGUACCGCAGCUCAUCUCUAGCUGCUCAUCACCAGCACGUCAAAUCCACCUCGAGAGACAAGUCCACUAAGGACCACAUGCAACAGGAGUGCAUAGACUAGGACAAAGAAAUCUGUUAAAAUACCGUUUAGUUUGUCAUAUAUACAUCUAUAUAUAUUAUAUAGACAUAUAUAUAUUUAUGUAAAUAUAUUUUUUGUGACACAUAGAUGUCUGAAAGCAUUAUUUUAAUGUCUGCACUAAGCAUGGAAUUAUAAAUCUAUUAUAAACAAUGAUUAUUUUUGAUCAACAGCAACAUCACCGUAAUUGGUAGAUGAUUGACCGGUGGUUGAUGAGAACCUUGCAGAGACAACAUAAAGACGAGACUCAUCUCUGGUCUCCUCUGUCAUCCAGUGUGAGUCCAGACAGGACACAUCAGUCGUCAUGACAACACAUUCAACGAUUGCAACAUUAGUUUGCUGUUAUUUUUUUCCAUGUACAACAUUUUGGACACACUUCGAGGGGCAGGGAGUGAGAGCGGCUGGACACCUUCAUAUCCCAGAAGGCUCCGCUGCCCCCUUCGUACACUGAGUAUGGCUCUUCCUGCGACCACAGUGUCAAGUUGAACUCAGUAACUACACCCUUCUCCACUCAGUACACCACUCAAGUACUAAUUAAGAGCAGCUCUGAGCAGGCUUACAGUACUCAUGUACACCAGCUCUGAGCAGGCUUACGGUACUAAUGUACACCAGCUCUGGGCAGGCUUACAGUAGUCAUGUAGACCAGCUCUGAGCAGGCUUAUGGUACUCAUGUACACCAGCUCUGAGCAGGCUUACAGUAGUCAUGGACGUGUGGUGUGCUGGGAGACCCCACGCACAGAAAAAUGCAGAUUUAAAAACAAAAGAAAAGCAACAAAAGCAAGGCCAACGACAUGACAUCAUCAGGACUCCGACAUGACAUCAUCACAGCUCAGACAUGACAUCAUCACAGCUCAGACAUGACAUCAUUAUGACAACAUCACGGCUCAGUACCUGACAUCAUCACGACUAAGACAUGACAUCAUCAUGACAUCAUGACAUCAUUAUGCCUCAGACAUGACGUCGUCACGACUCCGACAUGACAUCACUAUGACAUCAUCAAGACUCAGUACCUGAUGGCAAACAGCAGAACCGUCCGGAACAUUCUGAAACACUAAGCUCUUCUUAUUCCCACAGGAUAGAUGGGAUUAAUACUGGAACAACUGACGACAUCAGUGGUACCUUCAGAGUUCUAUACACGACUGAGAUGAAACCAAGGGUUUUAGUCUGUUGAAUACAUAUUUAAAUACAUGCACCAGUUAGUGAGAACAUGGACUGUCACUUGUGGUGAGAAUCAGCACUGGCUUGAGAUGGAAUAAUCUAAGGGUCAGAUACACGCACACGCACACACACACACACACACACACACACACACACUCACUCACUCACUCAAACAUGCACACACGUGUCGGGCGUCAUCACAUAUCUGAAUUAAUGGCGUGAUGGUCAUGGGUCAUGGGAAGAGGUUUUAUAAAAGUCAUCUUGUUCAGAAAAAUAAAAUCUAAAACAUUCAAACGUUUUGGGAUGAGUGUAAUACGACCCCCCCGCAUCAGAUACAGAAAUAUACUCAAGACAGCAAAAAUACAAGUCUAGCGAUAGCGGAAAAUAAUAGCUGGUCGUUACGACAUAAACGAUAUUCAAGUUCGAGAAACCCGUAUUAAUAUUUAGUUGAGAAUGCAAGAAGGAGGUGUUAAGAGCGGAUAAGAAAAGAAAGAAAAACGGAAAUAGAUCAACCAUAAAGUUAACAAGACCACAUGAAAGCUCUAAAAAGAGUGGACCACUAUUGGAAACGUACAAAAGCAAAAAAUACUGAAUUUCAAACAAGGAACUUAACUAGCAUCUAACAAUAUAUUAAAAAGUAGCUUUUCUAAGUAUUUUAAACCAACCAGUCACAUCCCGUGCCCAAACUGAUUACUUCUACCUCAUCUUUGGGCGAAGCCUGCAGUCCUGCAUGAAUACUCAGACCACUUUGAUUUAAGAAGGGGGGUUUAAUGGGGGUCUUUGUUUUAGCAAAAAUAAAGAGGGACUACCAGUGUGGCCUUUAACCAGUGGGGUGAGCGUCAUUGUGGUUGAAGUGUGCGGGGCUGCAUGUAAGGCACACCGUACACAGGUUCAAACACCAGGGCCAAACCACUCACACAUCAACCACCACACAACCGGACACCUUGCACUGAACACAGCUCAGAGGACCGUUCUGUGACUCCAACGAGGGAACGCAGAACUAUGACUUAUUACUAUUUCAGAGGACGGGACUCAAAUAAAACACACCCGGCGUGACCUCGUCAAAACAAAGUUGUGUUUUCGGGGGUGUUUUACAGUGUUGCAUAGUUUCUUUUGAGUGUGCAGACAAAAGAGGCUAAAAGUCUCCCUUUUCCUUUUUCCUUUUUGUUUUGAAACUCUAUGGACCAAUCGCAGGCCUCCGAGACGUGCGCCCUGGGCUUUAUGAGCCAAUCGUUAACACAGAAUGGGAGAAGGAGAGAGAGGGGGUGGGCGUUGUUAAAGCCCCCACAGCGGCUGGGUGUCUGCUGUAAAUCAUAAAAACAACUCACCAUAAACAUCCUAUUCCCAACACAAGCACAUUCAGACACCAUCGCUCUCCCUCUGCUCUGAGCUGGCCCGGGCCAGGGGGGAAUCCCCACAAUGCAGCAUUCUCUCCAUGGGAGAAUUCAUUUUAGCUUCACUUUUUUACGGGCAUACAGCUACUCUUAAAACGACAAACGUAUUGCUCGGUUUACAGUGCAAUCGCCACGCUUCGCAUCGGAUUACGACCGGAACAUAAUCUGGAGAAAGCCGCGAAAGAAACCCCAACCCUUUACCCCACCUUCUGCCCCCCGUGAGGGUGGGUGGGGGGGGAUACACUCUAAACAGAUGAAAUCUCUGACCUGUGGGGGUCUGAACAGAGAGGAAUGAGAUGAAGGUUUAUUUGGUCUGAGCCUCAGCCUCAGAAUGGCCGAAGGGAAAUGGCCUCUGGUGUUGGAUAUAUUUGAAGAUUAUUAAUUAGUAUAAACGACUUUAUACUCCUAUUGCACUCCUGUGAUUUAACAGUGAGCCGUUAUUGCAUUUUUUUAUAUUUUUAUAAAAAGUAGCAACUGAAUGUUCGUAUUCUGUAACAGAACCGAGCGGAGCCCAUUGUGAAUGUAGCUCCGUGUAUGCAUAUAUCAGACUCCAGUGAAGGUUGGUUACAUAUUAAACUACUCUAUUAACCCCAGGAGGCGAUGUUAAAGGACGGCCGUGCCUGUCGUUUCCGUUAACACGGUACCCGUUAAAGAGUAGUGAGACACAGCGUCAGACGAUUCACAGCGCGGUAUAAGGCUUGGUUUCCCAGCGGGACACAGUGUGAACUACUGGUGGCAGAAGAGAGGCCGCUUCUAAACAAUCUGUGACAGACUCUUGUGUCUCUCGCGUCGAUAACUUUAUCCGGUAAUGAUCGACAGACCUUCAAACAUUAGAUCGGGGAGCCCUUCUCGGUAAACCACGGUUACGUUAACAACCCAGACGUCGUUUGUAGCCUAAACGUCAGUACCGCGCGUCGUUGACCUGUCGUACCUCCCUGAUCUACGAGUGCAAAGUCUGGUGAAAUGUCGGGGACACAUUGGGGGGGGGGUGAGGGGUUAAAUACUGGCUCCACAGACGUGCUGUCGAGGUGGGCGUCCCUUCUUAAAUCCUACAGUAUAUCUACGCAAUGCAUAUUCAAACCUGAAACAUGAGGUACCUUUGAUAACGUCCGGGUUAGGAUGGUUAGUAUGGAUCGUCUUUUAAGAUGGCCGUUACAUGGCCGCGGUUAGUAGCAGUCGCCGUAGCCGUAGAAACGCU
ensembl:lncRNA